rnacentral:rRNA from 1 species
UACGUAGGGGUCGAGCGUUGUCCGGAGUUACUGGGCGUAAAGCGUGCGCAGGCGGCUCAUUGCGCCCGGCGUGAAAGCCCACGGCUCAACCGUGGAAGGUCAUUGGAAACUGGGGAACUUGAGUGCAGAAGAGGAGAGUGGAAUUCCAUGUGUAGCGGUGAAAUGCGUAGAUAUAUGGAGGAACACCAGUGGCGAAGGCGACUCUCUGGUCUGUAACUGACGCUGAGGCUCGAAAGCGUGGGGAGCAAACAGGAUUAGA